AAGGAAACUGUAUGCACGCCCAUAGGAGUGUAUAGUGUCAGGAGUCCCAGAGCCAAAAUCUAAGCUGUGCUUGCCUUUCCUAAGAUGCAAGCCCUUUGAGCAUCUGUCCAGAUGCACCCAUGGCGCAGAAAGAUGGAGACGGAGCACUUGAUUAGGACCCAAAAGAAAACUCCUGGAUUAGAGGAGCCCUGGGUGCAGAUCAUGGUCAGUGGUCUCCCUGCUCUGACACCAUCUGCAACAGGCUGCUUCUGCUACCCAGCCACACUGACAGCACUAGCCACCCGGGAACGAAAGCCUGCGCUGAAGUUUUCUCGCUAACUGAAACCUGUCACGCAUAAGAUCAUGCCGGUAAUUCUAACAAUUCAGUAGUGCCUUAGAAAAUAUGGAGAUGAUUUAAUGAACGUCUUUCUUUCUGAGACAGAUUGAAGUAUACGCACAUUCAUGACAAAAUAGUUUAGUUUAGUUAAAUAUUACAAAUAAAUCCUUUAAGAUCUGUAUCGG
rnacentral:lncRNA from 1 species